rnacentral:rRNA from 1 species
GGACGGGUGAGUAACGCGUGGGUAACCUGCCUUAUACAGGGGGAUAACAGUUAGAAAUGACUGCUAAUACCGCAUAAGCGCACAGGAUUGCAUGAUCUGGUGUGAAAAACUCCGGUGGUAUAAGAUGGACCCGCGUCUGAUUAGCUGGUUGGUGAGGUAACGGCCCACCAAGGCGACGAUCAGUAGCCGACCUGAGAGGGUGACCGGCCACAUUGGGACUGAGACACGGCCCAAACUCCUACGGGAGGCAGCAUG